AUAAAAUGUGGUUCACAUGGACUUCCGCUCCAUCCAUCCUUUUCCUGUUGGCGCGUGCGGUUGAGGCGGGGAUCGCUGCCGCCAGUCUCUCGUUUUCAUCACAGACACUUCUGCUGCAAAGAUGGUCAACGUCCCUAAAACCCGAAGGACUUUGUGUAAGAAAUGUGGCAAGCCCCAGCCUCACAAAGUGACCCAGUAUGAGAAGGGCAGGAUUCCCUGCAUUCCCAAGGAAAGCUGCACUACGACCGGAAGCAGAUGGCUACGACCGGCAGACAAAGCCAAGUUUUCGAAAGAAGGCCAAAACCAUAAAGGUUGUGCUCAGGCUUGAGUGUGUUGAGCCCAACUGCAAAUCUGAGAGGAUGUUGGCCAUUAAGAGAUGCAAGCAUUUUG
rnacentral:lncRNA from 1 species